CCAAUACUCAAACUAUUUUUUAAAAAAAGUCCUCACCUAUUUAUAGAUGAGUGCAUUUUGUGUUAGUCACCCAACAAUUAGCUUUUCUCAUAUUGCAACAUUUGUUUAUCCUUUCCCCUCCUUCCAAUGAUAAAGUAGCAUGAAAUGAUACUCGGACAGCUCUUCUGGGAAUUCCCACAGCUUGUUUGUUUCUGUGAAAAUACAUCGUGUUAUCUAGCUGUUCUGCGCAGAUUAAAGCCAGCCUUUUUCCAUAUAAAAAACCUCAUCCAAGUUGCACAUAGCUAGGGCUCAACAAGCGAAGCUGCCGAAAACCUACAAGAACACAUGAAGCAACCCAAAGAUGAAUCUUCUAGCACUAUCAACCUUAUUACUGUCCUUUCCGAGGUUUACACCAGGUAAACCUGUCCAGGGAAUCCAGGAAGGCAAGGCCACAGGAGAGACAUUUAUGCAUCAGGAUGAUAUUGUUUACAGACGAAGAACACAGCGAAGUGCCAUGAAAUGCCAUCAGAGAUGUGUUUGGCCUAGAUCAGAAGAUGGGCUGGUCAACAUUCCAAUUAAUGUCUCUACAGAGUUUUGUAUGUUAUUUAAAGCUUUACAACAGGCCUUCUCCAGCGUUCAUUCUUGCUAAUAAUGAAAUUUUUGUAGAAUGAAAAUCCAUUAUAUAUAUAUAACCCUCCAAAAGCCCCGAUAGCUCUUUUCCAUAGCAAUCAGUGAGCCAUGGUUGUUGGUGAUGUUGUUGUUGUUGUUGUUUAGUCAUUUAGUCGUGUCCGACUCUUCGUGACCCCAUGGACCAGAGCACGCCAGGCACUCCUCUCUUCCACUGCCUCCCGCAGUUUGGUCAGACUCAUGUUUGUGGCCUCGAGAACACUGUCCAACCAUCUCAUCCUCUGUCAUCCCCUUCUCCUUGUGCCCUCAAUCUUUCCCAACAUCAGGGUCUUUUCCAGGGAGUCUUCUCUUCUCAUGAGGUGGCCAAAGUAUUGGAGCCUCAGCUUCACAAUCUGUCCUUCCAGUGAGCACUCAGGGCAGAUUUCCUUAAGAAUGGAUAGGUUUGAUCUUCUUGCAGUCCAUGGGACUCUCAAGAGUCUCCUCCAACACCAUAAAAGGUAAAGGGACCCCUGACCAUUAGGCCCAGUCGUGGCCGACUCUGGGGUUGUGGCGCUCAUCUCGCUUUAUUGGCCAGCAUGACCAGCAUGUGGCCAGCAUGACUAAGCCGCUUCCGGCGAACCAUAGCAGCGCAUGGA
rnacentral:lncRNA from 1 species